UAGCAGCGGCAGCGGCGAAGGAACCUGCCUAUGUUUUCGCAUUCGCGACUUUACAGAGCUCCAGCCUACGCCCAGCUCUUUUUGCCCUCGAGCAAAAAGUUGAUCGGCCGUAGAAUUUCGAGACUUCAGCCUGCGCCCGGUUUCUUUUCCUUAGAGCAAACAGUUGAGCGUCCACAGACGCUUCCGAUGCACCCUGGACAAUGACAGACGUCCCCUGUGCGAACUUUGCGACCGGUGGUGGGUCAACACAAUGGUUACCUUGGUGGCAGCGGUGGUGGCGAAAGGACCGACCUCAUUCUUCGCAUUCGCCACCUUCGAGGUUGUGUAAGACUGCAUUCUAUUGGGACACCGUGAAACGCUGCUGAUACUGGCAGCGUGAUACUUGCCAACAUCUCACUAUUGCCACACUGGAGGACAGCUCCACAGAAGAUCAAGCUACAGGAAAAUUGUCAUGCAUAUGUGGAGCUGUCAUUGUUUUCCUGACGCAAGUGGUGCUUGCCGAUCGACUAGGAACCAGUCACUCGACGCACCUGCCCUUGGAUUUUCCUCGGAACGUACGCUUGUGCUAGCAGUGUCUUUGCAAAGGAGGUGGUUUCUCAGAAUGAAGCUGGUGUUGAAGAAGGUCCACUUGCCGCUGGCGCAGCGAGAAAAAGUGUAAACCAAGCGACAGAAAGUCAGCGCCAGAGGUGGCAGGGACACUUCUGCUUGCGGCUUCUCUCCAGAUGAAUCGACACGAAACCUCCCGUCGCCGCAUGAAGCACACUCGUCAACGACACUAUUCAGAAAAAUUGAAGCAUUACUCUUUCUGUAGUUCCGUAGUUUUCACAAUAUUCCGUAGUUUUCACAAUAUUUUCUUGUCUAACUGCAGGAUACUGGAUCAAAGUGACACUAAAUCGACCCACAUAACUUGUACUAGUUCAUACGAAAGGCUCUCUAGAGAUCAGAAGGUAAUGCGCUAAUGACACGAAUGCGUGCCAUUAUUUGUAAAGUUUUGCCAUUACGAAUACAAUUUAUUAGCCAACAUUAUUCAAUCUGAAUUUUAAAUUUUGAAUAUUUGCACAUCCAUAGCAAUGCGGUCAUAUAUGUAACCGGUAUAUAUGACAUACUUCUAUCUCUAUGUAAGCGUCGUCGUCCAUGGAU